rnacentral:rRNA from 3 species
UUGUUGCCAGCGGUCCGGCCGGGAACUCAAAGGAGACUGCCAGUGAUAAACUGGAGGAAGGUGGGGAUGACGUCAAGUCAUCAUGGCCCUUACGACCAGGGCUACACACGUGCUACAAUGGCGCAUACAAAGAGAAGCGACCUCGCGAGAGCAAGCGGACCUCAUAAAGUGCGUCGUAGUCCGGAUUGGAGUCUGCAACUCGACUCCAUGAAGUCGGAAUCGCUAGUAAUCGUGGAUCAGAAUGCCACGGUGAAUACGUUCCCGGGCCUUGUACACACCGCCCGUCACACCAUGGGAGUGGGUUGCAAAAGAAGUAGGUAGCUUAACCUUCGGGAGGGCGCUUACCACUUUGUGAUUCAUGACUGGGGUGAAGUCGUAACAAGGUAACCGUAGGGGAACCUGCGGUUGGAUCACCUCCUUACCUUAAAGAAGC